CAACCACAUCAUGUUGAAACACUAGUUCCCAUGGGAUCACUGAAGUUAAGCAACAUCAAGCCUGGUUAGUACUUACAUGGGUUACAGCUUAGGAAUACCAGGUGCU